CCAAGAAUCUUCCGCAAUGGGGGAAACCCUGACGGAGCGACGCCGCGUGAAGGAUGAAGGUCUUCGGAUUGUAAACUUCUUUUAUCUGGGAAGAAUAAAUUCGGUAGGAAAUGACCGGAUGAUGACGGUACCAGAGGAAUAAGCCCCGGCUAAUUACGUGCCAGCAGCCGCGGUAAUACGUAAGGGGCGAGCGUUGCUCGGAAUUACUGGGCGUAAAGGGCUUGUAGGCGGCCUUAUAAGUCGAAUGUGAAAAACCGGGGCUCAACCCCGGCGCCGCGUUCGAAACUGUGAGGCUUGAGUCUGGUGGAUGGUAGUGGAACACCCGGUGUAGCGGUGAAAUGCGUAGAUAUCGGGUAGAACACCGAAGGCUAAAGCAGCUAUCAAUGCCAAGACUGACGCUGAGGAGCGAAAGUAUGGGGAUCAAACAGG
rnacentral:rRNA from 1 species